rnacentral:rRNA from 1 species
UGGGAGCAAGCCCUUCGGGGUGAGUGUACCUUUCGAAUAAGCACCGGCUAACUACGUGCCAGCAGCCGCGGUAAUACGUAGGGUGCAAGCGUUAUCCGGAAUUAUUGGGCGUAAAGGGCUCGUAGGCGGUUCGUCGCGUCCGGUGUGAAAGUCCAUCGCUUAACGGUGGAUCCGCGCCGGGUACGG